rnacentral:rRNA from 1 species
UACGAAGGGGGCUAGCGUUGCUCGGAAUUACUGGGCGUAAAGCGCACGUAGGCGGUCUUUUAAGUCGGGGGUGAAAUCCUGGAGCUCAACUCCAGAACUGCCUUCGAUACUGGAAGACUUGAGUCCGGGAGAGGUGAGUGGAACUGGCGAGUGUAGAGGUGAAAUUCGUAGAUAUUCGCAAGAACACCAGUGGCGAAGGCGGCUCACUGGCCCGGUACUGACGCUGAGGUGCGAAAGCGUGGGGA